UACGGAGGGGGCUAGCGUUGUUCGGAAUUACUGGGCGUAAAGCGCACGUAGGCGGGACAGAAAGUCAGAGGUGAAAUCCCAGGGCUCAACCUUGGAACUGCCUUUGAAACUCCUGUUCUUGAGGUCGAGAGAGGUGAGUGGAAUUCCGGGUGUAGAGGUGAAAUUCGUAGAUAUUCGGAGGAACACCAGUGGCGAAGGCGGCUCACUGGCUCGAUACUGACGCUGAGGUGCGAAAGCGUGGGGAGCAAACAGG
rnacentral:rRNA from 1 species